rnacentral:tRNA from 1 species
GCCUUCGUGGUGUAAAAUGGUAAGCACAUUCGACGCUUACCCGAGAGGUCCGUGGUUCGAUUCCCGGCGAAGACG